UACCUAGCCUUAGAUCUACAAUCUCCUGUGCAAUACACACAACCUUCAAAUUAUCAGAAGAUUUGUUCUAUCUGUGCUAGCCCAUCAUGUUAGUGAAUAUCCUACGGCUGCACAGUUUCUGCCUUUUAUCCAAGAAUAAGUUCAAGCUACUCAAGGUUACUCCAAUCCUGUCAAUGACCCAUUCUUAAAUACAUAUAACCA
rnacentral:lncRNA from 1 species